rnacentral:rRNA from 1 species
GUAGUCCGGAUUGGAGUCUGCAACUCGACUCCAUGAAGUGGGAAUCGCUAGUAAUCGUGGAUCAGAAUGCCACGGUGAAUACGUUCCCGGACCUUGUACACACCGCCCGUCACACCAUGGGAGAGGGCUGCAAAAGAAGUAGGUAGUUUAACCUUCGGGAGGACGCUUACCACGUUGUGGUUCAUGACUGGGGUGAAGUCGUAACAAGGUAGCGCUAGGGGACGCUGGCGCUGGAUCACCUCCGUAAA